AAUAUUGCGCAAUGGAGGGAACUCUGACGCAGCGACGCCGCGUGAGCGAUGAAGGUUUUCGGAUCGUAAAGCUCUGUCCUUGGGGAAGAAGGUCUUCGGACUUGACGGUACCUAAGGAGGAAGCCCCGGCUAACUACGUGCCCGCAGCCGCGGUAAUACGUAGGGGGCAGGCUGUGUCCGGAAUCAGUGGGCGUGAAGGGUGCGUUGGCGGCCUUUUAAGUCAGGUGAGAAAGCCCACGGCUUAACCGUGGGAUUGCAUUUGAAACUGGAAGGCUUGAGUAUCGGAGAGGGUAGUGGAAUGCCCAGUGUAGCGGUGGAAUGCGUAGAUAUUGGGAGGAACACCAGUGGCGAAGGCGACUACCUGGACGAAAACUGACGCUGAGGCACGAAAGCUAGGGGAGCAAACA
rnacentral:rRNA from 1 species